rnacentral:rRNA from 1 species
GAUGAACGCUGGCGGCGUGCCUAAUACAUGCAAGUCGAGCGAACAGAUGAGGAGCUUGCUCCUCUGGCGUUAGCGGCGGACGGGUGAGUAACACGUGGAUAACCUACCUAUAAGACUGGGAUAACUUCGGGAAACCGGAGCUAAUACCGGAUAAUAUAUUGAACCGCAUGGUUCAAUAGUGAAAGACGGUUUUGCUGUCACUUAUAGAUGGAUCCGCGCCGCAUUAGCUAGUUGGUAAGGUAACGGCUUACCAAGGCAACGAUGCGUAGCCGACCUGAGAGGGUGAUCGGCCACACUGGAACUGAGACACGGUCCAGACUCCUACGGGAGGCAGCAGUAGGGAAUCUUCCGCAAUGGGCGAAAGCCUGACGGGGCAACGCCGCGUGAGUGAUGAAGGUCUUCGGAUCGUAAAACUCUGUUAUUAGGGAAGAACAAAUGUGUAAGUAACUAUGCACGUCUUGACGGUACCUAAUCAGAAAGCCACGGCUAACUACGUG